UACGUAGGAGGCAAGCGUUAUCCGGAAUUACUGGGCGUAAAGGGCGCGCAGGCGGCUUUUCAAGUCGGGUGUAAAAUCUUCUCGCUCAACGAGAAGGGAUCAUCCGAUACUGUCGAGCUAGAGAGCAGCAGAGGGAGGCGGAAUUCCCGGUGGAGUGGUGAUAUGCGUAGAUAUCGGGAAGAACACCAGCGGCGAAGGCGGCCUCCUGGGCUGUUUCUGACGCUGAGGCGCGAAAGCGUGGGGAGCGAACAGGAUUAGAUACCCCCGUA
rnacentral:rRNA from 1 species